ACGGCAGCACAAAGGAACUUGUUCCUUGGGUGGCGAGUGGCGGACGGGUGAGUAAUGUAUCGGAACGUGCCCAGUAGUGGGGGAUAACUACGCGAAAGCGUGGCUAAUACCGCAUAUUCUCUACGGAGGAAAGGGGGGGAUCAUUUGACCUCUCGCUAUUGGAGCGGCCGAUAUUAGAUUAGCUAGUUGGUGGGGUAACGGCCUACCAAGGCGAUGAUCUAUAGCUGGUUUGAGAGGACGACCAGCCACACUGGGACUGAGACACGGCCCAGACUCCUACGGGAGGCAGCAGUGGGGAAUUUUCGACAAUGGGGGGAACCCUGAUCGAGCCAUCCCGCGUGUGGGACGAAGGCCUUCGGGUUGUAAACCACUUUUCUCAACGAAGAAAAGCCUUAGACUAAUACUCUGAGGUGCUGACGGUAGUUGAGGAAUAAGCACCGGCUAACUAUGUGCCAGCAGCCGCGGUAAUACAUAGGGUGCAAGCGUUAAUCGGAAUUACUGGGCGUAAAGGGUGCGCAGGCGGCUUGGAAAGAACGGUGUGAAAUCCCGGGGCUCAACCCCGGAACUGCACUAUUAACUAUCAAGCUAGAGUAUGUCAGAGGGGGGUGGAAUUCCGCGUGUAGCAGUGAAAUGCGUAGAUAUGCGGAGGA
rnacentral:rRNA from 2 species